UAGGGAAUCUUCCACAAUGGACGCAAGUCUGAUGGAGCAACGCCGCGUGAGUGAAGAAGGUUUUCGGAUCGUAAAGCUCUGUUGUUGGUGAAGAAGGAUAGAGGUAGUAACUGGCCUUUAUUUGACGGUAAUCAACCAGAAAGUCACGGCUAACUACGUGCCAGCAGCCGCGGUAAUACGUAGGUGGCAAGCGUUGUCCGGAUGUAUUGGGCGUAAAGCGAGCGCAGGCGGAAGAAUAAGUCUGAUGUGAAAGCCCUCGGCUUAACCGAGGAACUGCAUCGGAAACUGUUUUUCUUGAGUGCAGAAGAGGAGAGUGGAAUUCCAUGUGUAGCGGUGGAAUGCGUAGAUAUAUGGAAGAACACCAGUGGCGAAGGCGACUCUCUGGUCUGCAACUGACGCUGAGGCUCGAAAGCAUGGGUAGCGAACAGG
rnacentral:rRNA from 1 species